rnacentral:rRNA from 1 species
UACGAAGGGUGCAAGCGUUACUCGGAAUUACUGGGCGUAAAGCGUGCGUAGGCGGUUUGUUAAGUCCGUUGUGAAAGCCCUGGGCUCAACCUGGGAAUUGCAGUGGAUACUGGCGAGCUAGAGUGCGGUAGAGGAUGGUGGAAUUCCCGGUGUAGCGGUGAAAUGCGUAGAGAUCGGGAGGAACACCCGUGGCGAAGGCGGCCGUCUGGACCAGCACUGACGCUGAGGCACGAAAGCGUGGGGAGCAAACAGG